rnacentral:rRNA from 1 species
GCUGUGACGUUAACUGCAGAAGAAGCACCGGCUAACUCCGUGCCAGCAGCCGCGGUAAUACGGAGGGUGCGAGCGUUAAUCGGAAUUACUGGGCGUAAAGCGCGCGUAGGUGGAUUGGUCAGUCAGAUGUGAAAGCCCCGGGCUCAACCUGGGAACUGCACCUGAUACUGCCAGUCUAGAAUACGGUAGAGGGUAGUGGAAUUUCCUGUGUAGCGGUGAAAUGCGUAGAUAUAGGAAGGAACACCAGUGGCGAAGGCGACUACCUGGACCGAUAUUGACACUGAGGUGCGAAAGCGUGGGGAGCAAACAGGAUUAGAUACCCUGGUAGUCCACGCCGUAAACGAUGUCUACUAGCCGUUGGGGGACUUGAUCCUUUAGUGGCGCAGCUAACGCGAUAAGUAGACCGCCUGGGGAGUACGGCCGCAAGGUUAAAACUCAAAUGAAUUGACGGGGGCCCGCACAAGCGGUGGAGCAUGUGGUUUAAUUCGACGCAACGCGAAGAACCUUACCAACUCUUGACAUCCAGAGAAGUUACUAGAGAUAGUUUCGUGCCUUCGGGAACUCUGAGACAGGUGCUGCAUGGCUGUCGUCAGCUCGUGUUGUGAAAUGUUGGGUUAAGUCCCGUAACGAGCGCAACCCUUGUCCUUAUUUGCCAGCACGUAAUGGUGGGA